GAAUGGUGGCGCGCGGGCCGGCGGGCGCCCAAUCCCCUCGCCUUCCCCCCUUUCGAGAAUGUUGAUGUGGAGAUCGGCUGCGCGCGCACCGUUUCCGGCGUACGUGGUCGUUGCGCGAGAGUCGGCGUCGUUCACCGGCGCGAAUUCGAGAAUUUUCCCAGGACGCGCGACGUGCAAUCGGUAGGCCUAUUCUGUAACUCUUAACGGACAGUUCAGUAUCGUUAUACUGUCGCUCAGCCCUUUCGAUAUUUCGAGAAUCGCAAUAUCGCGUACUCACGUAGACUUGGGCGAAAUCAGUUGCGAAAUACGUUGCGGAUUGUAAGGUCGUGUUCGAACGCGCGAACUCCGUGUUUUCCGCGAUUAUUACUGUCGUUCCAGAAACGAGACUUAAUUUGCUCACACGGGCUCGUCGCGAAUAUCUUGUCAUGUGUCGAACGUUCGUAUCGUCACGUACGACACUGAAUCCGUGCGAACGCUUAGCAGCGCGAGAACUUUAGGAUCUCGUCAAAGAGGAUACAAUGUUGAAAAUGCAACGGAAGACAAGCGGGAAAUUGAUGGUAGGCAGAAGGAUACCGGGGAAAAUGCAUAUUAGGAGAGGAGUCUCGUCGAGAAAAUCGCUGAUCAGGGUCUUCGGCCAUUUUUGCUUUUCGUCGAUAAGGACGACAUGUCUCUCCUGUCGGUAAGUCGGCUACUCAUUUUCUAAUUACCAUCAGUACGGCGGUCCGCGUAUGUGUAAUCGCCGUUGCACUAGAUGGCAGCACUAGAUAUUUGUAAGCGCGAUAUUCACAUACUGCCGCGGAGCAAAAUACAUAUACAUGUAUUAAAAUUAGGACGAUACGAAGAGUUUUGCAAUUGUGAAGUGGCAAACGAUUUUAUAUAAAAUCUUUGUAAACAGAAA